AGACCCUGAGGAGACUGAGCCCAGCGCCAGGCGACCGGUCCCCGCCGCCGCCGCCCCUGCGCGGGAGAUCCCCCCUGCUUAGUCCGCGCCCGAGCCCCCGUCCGUGGGAACAGACAAGGGGCCUCCGCAGCGCCUCACAACCCCCGACCAGGUCCAGCGGCGGGGGACUCGGCCGUGGAGGGCGCUGUUCGGUCUGGAUGGCUCCCCCCAUCAGCGGGAGGCUACACCCCCCACCAGCAGGGGCAAGAGGAGCAGCGGGAUGGGAGCAGGCCAACGUCCUGCGGCCUGGUUGAGCUCGCACUGACAAUCGCAGGUUUCGGACACGGGGGUCGCUUUGGGGGGCCUGGGGGCGCGGGGACCAGAGCUCGGGGCGGGGCAGUCCAGCCAGUUGGGCCCCAUGGGCUGGGGGGCGUCCGGCUCGGUCUUGAUGCUGUUCUUGGGGAAGCGCCAGUAGUGGGCGCCCUUGAAGAAGUAGGUGUCACCUGGAGGAGCAGAGCUUGAGUCCCGGUCCCUCCCCGCCCCGCCGCUCCCUGAUGCCCAAGGACCCCCAUCCCCGCAGGGUGGCCUCCAUGUCCCCAUUCCCCACAUCCCUCUCCCCACCCCCAGGCCCAGUAACCCGCAGGUCACCGCGCUCCCCACCUGCGUUGCUGACGGUGACAUCGUCAGGGGAGGGGGGCGCGCCUUCCCAGAGGCUCAGGUCGCGAGGGUAGCCGGGGUCCGGGCGCGCCGCCGCCUCGUCGUAGCGCCAGUACUGCCGGCCGCGGACCAGGUAGGUCUUCCCGUUCUGUGGCCACGAGAACACGGCGUCCACCUCCUCUCCCGGGGGCAGCCCCAGCUCCGUGAGCGGCCGCGCCCCGCCCUCCAGCUGCCGGUCCUGGAACACCCAGAACUGGGGCCCUGCAGGGUGGAGGCCGGGAGGUCAGGGGUGGGCUCCCCGCGCCGGCCCCAGCGCGCCCCGCCGCCGGCCCCACUCACCGCUAAAGAGGAGGAUUCGGCCGUCUCGGUGCCGAGCAUAGGCGGCCUGCACCACCCUCACCUGGGCGGGCAGCCCCUCCCAGAAGCGGUGCAGCCGUGCGGGUCGCGGGGACACCAGCUGUCCGGAGGGCUGGAGGCGCCAGAACCAGGGGCCUGCAGGGGACAAAGGGGUUCGCAGGAAGGCAUGAGACAGCAGGAGGUCUCCUCCCCCAGGGUGUGUGGCUGGGUGGGGAGGGGUCCCAUCUGGAAAUCAAGGGCGCAAUGGAUCUAGGGUGACCAGCCCAUCCUGGCCCGCCUGAGACUUUUCCCUUUUUAGCGCUAAAAGUGCCAGGGCCUUGCCUGGUGGCUCAGACCUGUAAUGCCAGCACAUUGGGAGGCUGACACCGGAGAAUCACCUGAGCCAGGAGAUUGAGCCCAGCCUGGGCAAUAUAGUGAGACUCCAUCUCUACAAAAUAAUAAAAUAAAUUACUAGCAAGGCGUGGUGGCAUGUGCCUGUGGUCCCAGCUACCAGGGAGGCUGAGGUGGGAGGAUCGCUUGAGCCCAGUAUUUUGAGGCUGCAGUGAGCCAUGAUCACACCACUGCACUGCGGCCCAGGCAACAAAGCAAGACCCUGUCUCAAAGAAGAAAAAAGUUCCGCUUCCAGGGUAAGCCCACAGCCCCAGUGGGUCACUGGAAGUGGGCAGGAAACCAACAUAUAUGAGGCCAAGUGAAAUGACUCACCUUUGAAGAAGAAAGUUUCCCCUCGGAUGUUGGCGAUGGCGUCAAAAUUGCCCUCACAUCGAUCAGGGAUGGGGAAGGAUGGGCUGGGGAGGAAAGGAGAGAGUUGCUGCAGGCCAUCGCGGUCAUCCUGAGACAGGCGGUACUUGUCAGGGUCGCCCACCGGACCC
rnacentral:lncRNA from 1 species